CCCAUUGGUGCCUGACGGGUUGGUUAGGGCGGCUUUUCUUCCGGCUGUGACAAAUCCAGCCUGAGGAGCGCUCCUGUGUCUUUCUUAGUUGUUUCUUCCCGCCCACCUGCCCCUCAAAGCCACGACCCACUUGCACGCCACCGUGUGGACACCUAAAAGCGACCGUCUAGAUCUGAACCGCGCUGAGGGAAUGGUCAGCUUCUCUCCCAUUAGAUGGCUUGGCCCAAAGGACCUAGCGACUGCCCAGACAAAAAUUUCUUCUGACAUGCUGCAUGUGUCUGUGGUCUCUAAGACUCAAAACCAAAGCCAAAAGAAAAAGACAACCCCGCCCCCCGCGAAACAACAACAACAACAACAAACACCACCACCAACCCACCUUUCACGUGAGGAGUCCUUGAGAAGGGCCUCUCCAGCCAGAACCAGACGGAGUUUCGGUCUUGCCGCCCAGGCUGGAGGGGAGUGGCGCGAUCUCGGCUCACUGCAAUCUCCACCUCCCGGGUUCAAACGAUUCUCCUGCAUCAGCCUCCGGAGUAGAUGGGAUUACAGGCGCACGCCACCACGCCCGGCUACA
rnacentral:sRNA from 1 species